AAAGGCUGUGGUAUCACAGCCGAGGUCUGAAGGACAGACAGGGAGAAAGAUGUGUCCGUGUGGGCCUGGGGUAUGAUGAGGAAUGGACACUGGAAUCCACAAUGUAAAGUAGAUAAUAAAAAAGAAUUGUGGGAUUAACUCUCUUCCUAAAGGAAUGAGAACAGCAAACCUGUCGUAGUCGUGGAAGUUAUGUUUUCAAACAAUCUUUAAUUUGAUGGGAUUAAAUAGAAAGAAAAUGGAAUUGUGAAAUUUGCAGGAAAGUGGAUAUUCCUCAAAAGUAUAAGCUAAAAGAAUUCAAACUCAGACAGAAAGCCCUGCACAUCCCCUUGGAUGCGAGUUCCAGUGUGAUGGAUACAUGUUCACGCGGGUCCUGCAGGUGAUGAGAAGGGGAGAACAGAGGCAAAGGGACAGGCAGGUCAAGGCAGAUCAGAAAGACUGGUCUGGUGAGAGUAAACUUGGACUUGACCAUGGCUGCUGUUAUUUGGGACUGUUGCCACAUCCACAGAAAUGCAUGGACCAUGAAAGAGUCUGGGUGGUGACACCAGCAGGUCACUAAGAGUGUCACCAGAUUGGAGGAACUAGAAGUGGGAAGCUGUGCCUUCAUUCUUCUUGGUCAAAGACCAAAGCAUUCGUGAAGUUGAGGGUGAAUGAAAGAGAAGUAAAAAGGAAAAGAAAGACAUGACGGCUAUACGUACGCUGGAGGAGAAAGUUUGUCAUAGAUAUGUAUACCCAGAGGCAGACACACCAGGGAAGGAAAGGGAGAGAGAAGAGAGGGGAACCAGCUGCAGCAGCCAGAGACCGAAGAUACAAAAAGCAUGCGUAACCAAAAGAGCUAUAGUUACAGUCCUGGGUGACCACACUGGCUCCCUGAAGAACUUUGGAGGCCACAUUCAGAGCCCAGUGAGGACGGCCCCGGAAGACAUAUCAUCUCUUAGGAGCUUUGUGCUUUCACCCACCAAUGGCAAAGAUGGUCCUGACACACCUUGGUCAUGUUUCUGAGGAAAGGAAAAACAUAGCCACUCCUCAGUAACCCUCACCGAUCGAUCUCAGCCUUGUGCUCACCAGCCCUCACCGAUCUCCUCAGUGCCGUGCUGGAUGCUCUGAUGAGGGUCUCCUGUGGUUCUGAUUGGCCUGGAACUUUCUUCACUUACCAGGCUGGCUUCAAGGAAAUCACCUGCCUCUGCUUCUUCUGAAAUUAAAGUGAACACCAUCACACUUGGUCAUUUUUAGCUUUUAUUUAUUCAUGAAGCUAUUGUUUGUGGUGCUGGAGAUAGAGCCCAAGACUUGAGCAUGUUAGGCAAGAGCUAUGUCCAUUUCUUGCAUUAAAUAUUGCCUUGUUUCCUUAAAGCAGGACUUUGCUAUGCUUCCCAGACUGGCUUCAGGUAUACUAAGGUUUACAAAUGCUGGGAUUGCAGGAGUGCCCCACGGGCCUCGGGUGCUAGAUACUAUAUAGUAUCUUCAAAGCAGAGACUUUCACUGUGGAAUCAGAGCAUAUCCAGAUCUUGAAAUGCAAUAAUAAGACGGGACACACAGAAAGCCCUACAAUGGCAAGUUCAAUGCUAUCCUCUCUGUCUUCUCUAUCCUUUCUGGGGGCUCAGCGCCAAGGUUCAAAGUCAGUAACUGUGGUCCGAGGACUAGAGAGCCCUGAACAAACAUGACUCCUACAUUUCACAUUUCUUCUCCUUUCCUGUUGAAUAAUACAUGCUUGUUUUAUUCAGAUUGUGAAAAACAAUUUUAAUGAACAGACUAAAUACCUGUCACAGGGUUUCUCUGUGUAGCCCUGGAUUUCCUGGAACUCACUCUGUAGACCAGGCUGGCCUCGAGCUCAGAGAUCCGCCUGGCUCUUAACUUAUGCAGUUUCUAAAGCACACUCCUAAGCAAGGUGUGGCAGCAUCCUUUGGGGACUACAUGUUUGGGAGAUGAAUUCUGGAACCAUCCCAGUUUGAUUCCCUGUAGGUAGCAUCCCUGAAUCUGUGUGAGUCUGACUCUUGCUGCCUUCAGCACAGUACUAGGUUCUGAAAUUAGGUUGUGUGUGUGUGUGUGUGUCUGUACCCCUCCUCUCAUUAUUUGGAUACAUCAUAGAUCAUCACUGUGGACUAGGCUGGCUGUGACAACUCAUCCCUUUAAUUCCAACAGAGGCAGGUGGAUCUCUGUGGGUUCAAGACCAGCUUGGUCUACAUAGCCAGUUGGUGGUCAGCCAGGGCUAUAUAGUGAGACAAAGAAGAAGAAAAACCACAGAAAAAAGAGCCCACUGUGGACAACAGAGGAACACUAUGGACUAUAUGCAACAGAAGAACAGGGUCUUCCAUCAACUUCUGGAGGGGAGCCAGGAACAACGGCAAGAGCUCGUAAUGGGGACUUUAUGAUAUUCCUCUGACCAACAACUUCAAACCACGGCCUCAUUCCUGGCACUUUGACUACCUCUGCUGUCCCAGAGGACAUCGAAAUUCUUUUUUAUACAUGUUUAUGUUUUAUGAAGUUUCCACAGUAGCAUGAUUCCACAUAUUUUCCCCAAAGGUCUCUAGUGUUAGCUAUCCUUCCAUAUACUCCCAAAGGUGGGUAUUUUAAAUAAAAAAAUU
rnacentral:lncRNA from 1 species